rnacentral:misc_RNA from 1 species
GAUGAAGAACGUAGCGAAAUGCGAUACGUAAUGUGAAUUGCAAAUUCAGUGUAUCAUCGAGUCUUUGAACGCACAUUGCGCCCCCUGGUAUUCCGGGGGGCAUGCCUGUCCGAGCGUCAUUGCUGCCCUCAAGCACGGCUUGUGUGUUGGGCCCCGUCCUCCGAUCCCGGGGGACGGGCCCGAAAGGCAGCGGCGGCACCGCGUCCGGUCCUCGAGCGUAUGGGGCUUUGUCACCCGCUCUGUAGGCCCGGCCGGCGCUUGCCGAUCAACCCAAAUUUUUAUCCAGGUUGACCUCGGAUCAGGUAGGGAUACCCGCUGAACUUAAGCAUAUCAAUAAGCGGAGGA